CGUAGGUGGCAAGCGUUGUCCGGAUUUAUUGGGUUUAAAGGGUGCGUAGGCGGCUUGAUAAGUCAGUGGUGAAAGCCGAUCGCUUAACGAUCGAAUUGCCAUUGAUACUGCCAGGCUUGAGUAUAGAUGAGGUAGGCGGAAUUGACAGUGUAGCGGUGAAAUGCAUAGAUAUUGUCAAGAACACCAAUUGCGAAGGCAGCUUACUAAGUUAUAACUGACGCUGAGGCACGAAAGUGCGGGGAUCAAACAGGAUUAGAUACCCUGGUAGUCCGCACCGUAAACGAUGAUCACUCGCUGUGUGCGAUAAACAGUACGCGGCCAAGCGAAAGCGAUAAGUGAUCCACCUGGGGAGUACGCCCGCAAGGGUG
rnacentral:rRNA from 1 species